GGAUGUGAGGGCGGUCUGGCUGCGACAUCUGUCACCCCAGUGGUCGCCAAGGUUGAUACAGCUCAUCGUCUGGCUAGGCUGGUAUCUUCCUCUUCCCUCACCAUGCCAUGCAUGUCCCUCUAGAAGCCACACGCCAAAUAGAGGAGACCUGGACUUUGGUCAAGGGUGUUGGAAUAGUUAUGCUCCCCUCCUAAAACUUCUAAACAAACUCUCAAGUCCAACAUAUGCAACAAAAACCUGGACCUU
rnacentral:snRNA from 1 species